UACGUAGGGGGGCGAGCGUUGUCCGGAGUUACUGGGCGUAAAAGGGCAUGCAGGCGGUCGGACGCGUUUUCGGGGUGACAGCGGGGUGGCUUUAACUACCCCGAGUGGUCGAAAAGACGGUUUUGACUUGAGGACGCGAGAGGGGACACGGAAAUUCCCGGGGUGGAGUGGUGAAAAUGCGUAGAGAUCCGGGAGGGAAACACCCGAAAGGCGAAAGGGCAGUGUCCCUGGCGCGUAAACUGACGCUGAGGGUGCGAAAAGCCAGGGGGAGCGAACGGGG
rnacentral:rRNA from 1 species